UACGUAGGCAGCGAGCGUUGUUCGGAAUUACUGGGCGUAAAGAGUGUGUAGGCGGUGCUCCCAGUCUGUUGUGAAAUCUCCCGGCUCAACUGGGAGGGUGCAGCGGAAACUAGAGUGCUAGAGGGUGGGAGAGGUAAGCGGAAUUCCUGGUGUAGCGGUGAAAUGCGUAGAUAUCAGGAGGAACACCUGUGGUGUAGACAGCUUACUGGACCACUUCUGACGCUGAGACACGAAAGCGUGGUAGCAAACAGG
rnacentral:rRNA from 1 species